rnacentral:lncRNA from 1 species
UAAAGUGAACAUUGAUUGGUUAAAUAUUUCUCAGUGUGUUUGAAUUUGUUUGAUAGCCUUUUGGUCAUGACUGUUUGUCUCUAAUAUUUAAUUAACUGUGCAUUUGUAUUCAGAUAUCGCAGAUCAAAUUUAUUCGUUCUUUGUGUAAUCAUACGUUUUUUGAUUGAGUUAAGUCUGCUAAUUGAUAUUUUAUCGUAUGUUUUUAUAUGUUGUGAUGUUAUGCUAUUGUUUCAGAAA